rnacentral:rRNA from 1 species
UCCUACGGGGGGCAGCAGUGAGGAAUAUUGCACAAUGGGCGCAAGCCUGAUGCAGCGACGCCGCGUGAGGGAUGACGGCCUUCGGGUUGUAAACCUCUUUCAGCAGGGACGAAGGGUGACUGACGGUACCUGCAGAAGAAGCGCCGGCCAACUACGUGCCAGCAGCCGCGGUAAGACGUAGGGCGCGAGCGUUGUCCGGAUUUAUUGGGCGUAAAGAGCUCGUAGGCGGCUUGUCGCGUCGGCUGUGAAAACCCGUGGCUCAACCAUGUGGUCUGCAGUCGAUACGGGCAGGCUAGAAUUCGGUAGGGGAGACUGGAAUUCCUGGUGUAGCGGUGAAAUGCGCAGAUAUCAGGAGGAACACCGGUGGCGAAGGCGGGUCUCUGGGCCGAUAUUGACGCUGAGGAGCGAAAGCGUGGGGAGCGAACAGGAUUAGAUACCCUAGUAGUCGC